CAGCCGCCGCGGGAAUACAGAGGGUGCAAGCGUUAAUCGGAAUUAUUGGGCGUAAAGGGUGCGUAGGCGGUCAUUUAAGUCAGAUGUGAAAUCCCAGGGCUUAACCUUGGAAUUGCAUUUGAUACUGGGUGGCUAGAGUACAGAAGAGGGAAGUGGAAUUUCCGGUGUAGCGGUGAAAUGCGUAGAUAUCGGAAGGAACAUCAGUGGCGAAGGCGACUUCCUGGUCUGUAACUGACACUGAGGCACGAAAGCGUGGGGAGCAAACAGGAUUAGAUACCCGCGUAGUCCCUGUCUCUUAUAC
rnacentral:rRNA from 1 species